AGGUUCCCCCAAGGACCCUGGACCAGCACUCAGAUGAACUAACCUACUUCUGUAAGAAGAAAAUUUUCCACCGACUCCUUCAAGUUUCCAUUGUGGUGGGAAGGAUACAACAGGCAUCUGGCAGAGCAGCACAGCCCAGGAGCCAGCAAGCCUGCAGAAAGACAGCCUCAAUCAUGACAAGGGACAUGCUGGCUCACACAGGACAUGCCCAUGCUUAUCUGCCAGGUUAGCAGAGCUGAACAGACCGACCAAGCCAGUACUACAAAGCCUGAGGGGAAUGCACAUGGGCCUGCAGCUGGCGUGGGCAUGUCCCCACCAGCACUGUGGAAAUGUCCAGAGCUUUGGAGCUGAAGAGAAGCUCUUUGAAAUGAGUCCUGCCUUCCAAGGUGACAGACUUCUCAGAACACCCCUUCUCCAGGUUGACAGCCAAGGGCAAGUCUUGUCCUUGACUCUUAUCAACAUGUACAGGGGGCUCAUGGUAGUGUUAUAAUGGCAAAAAUCAGAAGCAGCCUAAAGGCCAGCUGCAGAGAAAUGGCUAAGCAGUGGCACUGUCAUGGACCUUAUUGCUCUGUAAGCCCCCAAAAUAUAAAAGAUGAUGUACGCCUUUGCUCAUAUUUUUAAAUUUAUUGUGGUAAAUUACACAAAACAUAAAAGUCACUGAACCAUUUUUCAGAGGACAGUUCAGUGGCAUUUGCAUGUGCUCUGUUGUGUCACCAGCACUACCUCCAUCUCCAGAACUCUCCAUCUUGCACCACCGAAACUACCAGUGGAGUGUGGUUCCCCAUUCCCCUCCCACCCACCCUUCUGCUUUCUGUUUCUGUGACCUUGACUGCAUGGGCACCUCUUGUGUCUUCUGGCUGGCUGAUUUCACUCAGCACAAUGUCCUCAAGGCUGUUCUACUUUCUUUGUAGCAUCUGUCAGUUUCCUGCCUCUUAAGGCUGAGUCAUGUCCCACUGUGUGUAGAGGCCACAUCUUGCUUAUCCACUCAUCUGUUAAUGGACACUUGGACUGUGCCCUCAGUUUAUCUGUUGUGAAUAAUAUUACUACAAGAUGGGUACACUUCUUUGUGAUGACCUGCACAGCCAAACCCUAAAAACCAGCAAGGGACAAUGAGGAAUUAAGAAAGACACACAAACACAGAGACAAAUCUGGGACCCAGUGGGAUACCCACCUCAGAUGAAGGAGCAGUGGCCCAGAACUAGCUCAGCACUUUUGUUAUAUAUAGGAUCUCACAAUCAAGAAGUUAGAGCACAUUGUUGUUUGUUCACUAAAAAGUUACAGAACUAGAAACAUUUUUUGUAGCUAUUCUACUGUUGCAGUGCUGGGAACAUCCUGUUAUUACCCUGCUGAGCCCAAAACGCA
rnacentral:lncRNA from 1 species